rnacentral:rRNA from 1 species
UACGUAGGGGGCAAGCGUUGUCCGGAUUUAUUGGGCGUAAAGAGCGUGUAGGCGGCUUUACAGGUCCGUUGUGAAAACUCGAGGCUCAACCUCGAGACGCCGGUGGAAACCGUAAAGCUAGAGUCCGGAAGAGGAGAGUGGAAUUCCUGGUGUAGCGGUGAAAUGCGCAGAUAUCAGGAGGAACACCGGUGGCGAAGGCGGGUCUCUGGGCCGAUACUGACGCUGAGGAGCGAAAGCGUGGGGGAGCAAACAGG